UGCUGCACUGGGCCCCCUUCUGGCCGGACUCCUUGUCAGCAGGUGGCUGGAAUCAGGUCUUCUACAUGCUAAUGGCUGCUGACUUUCUCGCGCUGUUGCUUUUGCUGCGGCUUGUGAUGAAGGAGCUAUCUUCCAAUAAAUCCCAUCCGAUCUCCGUUGGACAGAUGAAGGAGCACUGAGCACUUUGAUUGCACUGAAGUAGGUCGAUCCUACAACGUGCACACAGUACUAUGCAAUGACACCACUGAUCUAUGUCUGACACGAACCCAGGACACGGACACGAUGCACUAUGGAUAGACAGAUAUGCACUGGCACUUGGUGACAGAAAACGAACUUACGAGCACCCGUGUGUGCACACAGACUGUUGUCACUAUGGCAGCUCAUUGUAAAGUGUACUUGCACCUCUGA